CCAACACACUUUGUAGCGAGUCGUUCUUCUCGUCAAUGCAAGAAACAGAUCCUUGGGGUCAAGGGAUACUAAGUUCAAGCGGAGUCCAGAAGCAUAUAUCGGACUUCACAACAAUAACUUCAAUGAAAAUGGAAGAUUCACGAAACAUCUUCAUUAAGACUAAACGUGAUGCAGCGUACCCCAAUCCGACUGUCGAUAUGCCUACAAGCCCUACAUCUGUAGUAAAUCCAGUAGAACGCCGCCCUGAAGUAGUUUGCAAUUGCCGGGAAAAUAGAUAUAUUCAAUGCAUAGUUCCAAGGGAUCAUUAUUUUGACACCCAAGCCCGAGCCAGAUUAUUAAAGAAAGAAAAAAUAUAUCAACCGAGUUCGUCGAGCACUGUGAGGGGUGAGCAACCCAUUCGAGCACAGUACGGAUACAAAAUUAACGAAGCAAAAAUGUUACCUUCUAAACGU